CAGCAGCCGCGGAAUACAGAGGGUGCGAGCGUUAAUCGGAUUUACUGGGCGUAAAGCGUGCGUAGGCGGCUUCUUAAGUUGGAUGUGAAAUCCCUGAGCUUAACUUAGGAAUUGCAUUCGAUACUGGGAAGCUAGAGUAUGGGAGAGGAUGGUAGAAUUCCAGGUGUAGCGGUGAAAUGCGUAGAGAUCUGGAGGAAUACCGAUGGCGAAGGCAGCCAUCUGGCCUAAUACUGACGCUGAGGUACGAAAGCAUGGGGAGCAAACAGGAUUAGAUACCCCGGUAGUCCCUGUCUCUUAUACA
rnacentral:rRNA from 1 species